rnacentral:rRNA from 1 species
CGUUACUAACGACGAUAUGCUUUGGGGAGCUGUAAGUAAGCGUUGAUCCAGAGAUUUCCGAAUGGGGAAACCCAGCAUGAGUUAUGUCAUGUUAUCGAUAUGUGAAUACAUAGCAUAUCAGUAGGCAGACCCGGAGAACUGAAACAUCUUAGUACCCGGAGGAAGAGAAAGAAAAAUCGAUUCCCUGAGUAGCGGCGAGCGAAACGGGAAGAGCCCAAACCAACAAGCU